AAUUAGCCCAGUACGUGUUUUCAUUGCUGAGGGGGCACAGGAUAAUGCUGCUAUCAGCUUCGUUAUUUACUUCAUCUCUGGCUCACUCAGCAGCUGCUUCCUUGAAUCAACAUGUCCCUACCAAAUUAUGUUUUGAACCAACUUGCUGCUCUGCCUUGAGGCAAUUUCCUGCCUGGUGCUGGCCACGAGGGGAUGGUGUCUGGCACUGUGCAGCUAUGGGGCACCAGGCAUGGGCUGUCACCUCCACCCGCACUCCAAGGUCACAGGAAGCCAUCACAGACUGGAUUUUGGGAGCAGCCUGAUAACAUUAGCUCUGAAUUAGUAGGACUGCAGUCAGACCCCUGGGAUGGGCACUGUGCUGCAAGAGAGCAUGGCUGGGAGAGAGAGCCCUUUUUCAGCACUAAGGGAGAAUUUUGCUGCAAAGUUUUUGAAGAGGAAACCCUCCCUGCUUUGAGAGGCAGCGGAUUUCCACAGAGCCAUCCACUGCUGCUGUUCCUAGGCAGAAAACCUUUCUUGCCUCAUUGCCACAUGGGACUCAUUCCUUGUCCAGUCAGUGCAGCAUUGUGGCUUUUUCUCACAAAGGCCUGUUGUGGAGUAAGAAGCCUCAUCUACAAGCAUGGUUGUGUACAGACCUCCUUGUAA
rnacentral:lncRNA from 1 species